GACGAACGCUGGCGGCGCGCUUAACACAUGCAAGUCGAGCGAAGCGGCGGACGGGUGAGUAACACGUGAGUAACCUGCCUUAGACAUUGGGAUAGCCUCGGGAAACCGGGAUUAAUACCAAAUGGUCGAAGAUGGACUCGCGUCCCAUUAGGUAGUUGGUGAGGUAACGGCCCACCAAGGCGACGAUGGGUAGCCGGCCUAAGUGGGUGAAGGGCGACGGUGGAACUUGGUAACGGUCGAAACUCUGCGGGAGGCAGCAGUGGGGAGUAAUUCACAAGGGAGGGAACUCUGAGGCGGCGACGGCGCGUGAACGAAGAAGGCUUUCGAGUCGUAAAGUUCUUUUAUCUGGGAAGCGGUACCAUAAGAAAAAGCCCCGGCUAACUACGUGCCAGCAGCCGCGGUAAUUC
rnacentral:rRNA from 1 species